rnacentral:misc_RNA from 1 species
GUAAAUAAUAAAUUAUCAUAAUCUUUUGAUUAUGGAAUUGGGCCUUUAUUUCGAAUAGAUUUAUGGCCUCAAAUUUACGUUACCGCUUGUUUAAUAUGAAAUUCGACCGAAUGGAGCAAUUAAACAUUCUCUCGUUAGGCGGAUUCAUCAAGCAAUUACGAUUUUUUGGCCGCCGAAGGACUUUUACAAGUGCUUGGCCGAGAUCGUGAGUUUUAAC